rnacentral:lncRNA from 1 species
AGAAAAGGUCAUAUCUUGCCUGAUGCCACUUGCCAUUUGAAUAAAAUUCAUACAAACCAAAUUUCAUUUAUGCCUAAAUCCAAUGAAAUCUCAGAAAAUCUGUUCUGCUGGAACCAUAUUUUUGCUUCCUUAGAAAUACUUUAAAAAUUAGUUUUUGUUUAUAUGUCGAUAUUGGAUAUUUUAAAGGCUACACGUUUCUCAUAUAACUCAUUAAUCAAGCUCACCUGCUGUGCUCCAGUUUACUGCAUCAGAAAAGACCGCCCCUAUGGUCUUUAGGACAUAAGAGAAAAGGAAAUACAUGGUUUGCUUAUAAAGGAAAUCAUAUAGACCAAUUUGCCUACGUGACUCAUUCAGAUAUGGCCAACAUGUAAGGAACCAUCUGCCUCAAGAGUUUCUAAGGCUACAAUAUUGAUUGAAGAGACAAUGAAAUCUAGAGUCCCCAGCCAUUUGCCACCAAAUAUUGACACUUCUGUCUUUUUAAGUCAUAAAUCAGUCUUUACUAGAGCAGAAUGGGGUUAACUAAUUGAGAGUUGUAGUUCACAAAGAGUGAUUUACUCUAUUGAGAUAUUUAAAGAUUUUUAAAAUGCAAAAAAAAAAGUCUUGUAAAAUGCAUUUAUAAAUUAAAAGACAGAACAAAUGGUACAAAUCUUGCCCUAUGGAACAGGGAUGGUGCACAUAUGCUUAUGAAGAGGGAACUUUUGUUAAUUUCAUGUAUUUCAAGUCAAAAGUAACAAAUACUUUGAAUUAUAGUUUGAGCGAAGAGAAUCUUGCUUGUAGUUUCUUCAGUAUUAACAUCAAAAUACUGCCUUCCCACAGUGCUAUAUAUUUUUAUUUAUGUCACAUAAAAUAUUAAAAUAUAAGUAUGUGCCAUAAUUACAGCAAUUGGAGGGCUCACCUACAGAGAAUGCCCACUUUGAUCAUUCUAUAUACAUUUUUCUGAGCUCUCCACUUGUAUUUUUUUCUUUAUAUAUCAUGGAUAUAUCUUUGGACUUGAUGUUGAGGGAGGGAAAUCACUCUCUUUGCAAGUGAAUAUUUUCCUAACUACUUUUAUGAAUAAAACAUUUUCAGAGAAGGAAAUGAGAAAACAGACUAGGAAAGCUAGAGAGUUACAAACAUAGUAGGAGGAAUACUGUUGAAAAUGUUAACAGUUAAUUAAAAAUAUCCCUCCUGAGUUAAAUUUGGCACUAAUAUGCAUAAUCCACAAACUUUUAAUAUCUUUUAAUACCUUUACACUUUUUCAAGUGGUAAAUUUUCCUCAGACCUCAAAAACCUAGCAUCUCCAAAUAGUUUAUAAGAAUUCAGACUGCCAAGGAAUAGGUGCUUAAAACAGAAACAAGAAUUACAACAACCCAAAGACAGCUCUUUAUAGCUUCUUGGUUCUCAUCUUCAGAGGUGACUGAAAAUGAUUAUGAUCAGUCUUCAGCUUAACUGAAAUCAAGCAAUUAACACCACUUUUAUUCAUGAAAUUGUGAGAAAAAAAUUGAAAAACAAAGAAAUCAAAAUAAUGACCAAUUAAAAGAAAACUAAGGAGCUACUCUUACAAGGAAAUUGUGAUUUUAGUGAAAGGAUGGCCAGUGAAUAGAGUUCACAUGUAAAAAUCAGUCCUCGGUCUUGAAAGGAAAGAAAAAGAAACCAACACAUACUGAACCAGAAAGUUUAGACAUUUCAUAUUCAAAAAUGUUCUGAUGAAAAGGGUGUGUUUAUAUCCUGAGUUUCAGGAAUACUGAGAAAUCCUCCUGAGAUCACAUAGUAGUAAGUUUUGUUUUUCUAAAACAUACCAAUUUGAUUAUAAACCUGUAUUUUUUUUUCUUUUCCUUUAUAGGGUCACUCCUGUGGCAAAUGGAAGUUCUCAAGCUAGGAGUAGAAUCGGAGCUGCAGCUGCUGGCCUGUACCACAGCAACAGUGGAUCUAAGUAAGCCCCAUCUGUGACCUACACCACAGCUUGUGGCAACACCAGAUCCUUAACCUACUGAGCAAGGCCAGGGAUUGAACUCCCAUCCUCAAGGACAUGUAAGAUUCCUUACCUGCUGAGCCACAAUGGGAACUCUGAAACCUGUAUAAUUUUAAUUAAGAUAGUAUCUAUAUUUUUAUUCAUAUAUUUACUUAUAAUUAUUAGGUGUCAUAUAUGUGUCUGACUCUGCUUGGUGCUGAGUUAUGAUAGUAAUCUUGCCCACAGAUUUAACCAGGUGGAAAAAAAUCAUUAUGCAGAUAAAGGCAGUUAAAUGCGUAAUUACAUAUUUUGAUAAAUUCUGUGAAGAAGAAAAAUAGGAGUUUAAUGGAAAGAAUAAGAGAGAAACUUAAUUUAUAAGAUGUUGGAAUUCAGAGAGAGCAUCUUUAGGAAGUAACAGAAGGUACCUGAAGAUAAAUUACCUGGAGGAGAAUGGGCAUGGAUAUCACAAGUAGAAGGAUCUACUUCAAGAAACACCACUCCCUGAGAAGGUCAGCCUGGAGAGGGGCAGUGACAAGGAGGGGCUCCUCAAGUGUUUGCAGGGAUAGGAUAGCAGCAAUCAGUCAGGGAAAGAAGGUGGAACAUACUUUAAUUUUAUUACCAAAGGCAGUCAUUGAACAGAAAAGCAACAUGAUUGUUAUGGACUGUUUAACUUCCCCCUCAAACUAGUAUGUUGAAGACAUACCCUCCAGUAUGAUGGUAUUUGCAGGUGAGGCCUUUAGGAAAUAGUUAAGUUUAGCUGAGCUCAUGAGGGUGAGGCUCUGUGACAGGAUUAGCAUCCUUAUAAAGGAAGAAGAGACCAGAGUUCACCCUCUCUGCCAUGUGAGGACAUAGGAAGAAGGCAGAGGUCUAUGACUGGAAGCCUAGAAGAGGGCCCUCAUCAGGGUACCUUGAUCUUGGACUUGUCAGCCUCCAGAACUAUAAGAAAUAAGUUUCUGUUGCUUAAGCCACGCACUCUAUGGUAUUUUAUUGUAGUAGCCCAAGUUAAGACAGUGAUCUAAGACAUAAAUGAAGUAUGGUUUUAAAGAAUAACCUCCAUAGCAAUUCUAAUCUAACAUUAACUGAAUAGAAAAGAGCAAUAAGUGCUCAUACACUGGGGAUUAAUUCAAUAACUUGUUGAAUGAAUUGAUGAUUAUAAGGCAAGAACUGGCAACUUCCUUUGCUCUGACCUGAAAAGUGUAGUGUAUACCACCCUAUGUACUGCUUACUUAUUUCACAAAACUUGAGAAACCCCUAAAAUAUAAGGUUGCCAACUAUAGGCAAAAACUGCAGGGAUACUUAAAAAAUGCCCAAUCACUAGCUGCUCAAAAUAUCUUUCCAUUCAGCUAGUUACAAUGUGUUAAUCAAAAAGUCCAGGUUUGGGCUUAAGAUUUCAUUUCUUUAUCUCUGGAACCAGAAAAGACUGGACUUGAUAUUUAAUACCAACUCUCACUUUAUAUCUGAUCUUGAACAAACUAUUUUACUUUUUACAAACUUUAAUAACUAUUAUAAAAAUGGUACAAUAAUUUCUUGAUCGGGUAGUUGCAUGUUUUAAAAAAUUGAUAUAUGUAAAGUUUUACAAUGCUUACAAUUUAUUUAAAAGCUCAUUGUUUCCCUUGUUUGUCUUCCUAUUUUUAAAAAAAGUAGAGAGCUUUUAAAAUUAAUUAUUUAUAAUGAGGGUUUAAAAAAUAAAUUUGGGGGAGUUUCCAUUACAGCGCAAUGGAAACGAAUGCGACUAGUAUCCAUGAGGAUGUUGCUUCCAUCCCUGACCUCGCUCAGUAGGUUAAGGAUCUGGCAUUGCCUCACUCAGUAGGUUAAGGAUCAGGCAUGGCUUGAAUCCCCCCACAUUGCUGUGGCUGUGGUAUAGGAUGGCAGCUAUAGCUCCGAUUCGAACCCUAGCCUGGGAACUUCCACAUGCCGUGGGUGCAGCCCUAAAAAGCAAAAAAUAAAAGUAAAAAUAAAAAUAAAUUUUGUUUCCUGCUUAUUUUAUCAUUUUGUUUUCCCUAAGAGAAGAUGUUUAUGAUAAGAAGGAAAUAAAUAACAUGAGUAUGGAUGCUCUAGAUUUUAGGUCAAAGUGGGAGAGAGACAUAUGACAUGGAGUGGCCAAAAUCAAUAUUUGCUUCCGGCAUACUUUUGCCUAAGUGAAUCUUUAUUUUUGCUCUUAUAGUCAAUGAAAUGGUAAUGGUAGUAGCAUUAGUCAUAGCUAACACUUACAUGGUAACUAUUACAUAUCAGGGCCUCUUCUAAGCAUAACAAUACUCAUAGGUAAGUACGUUAAUUGCUCCCAUUCUAUUACUAAGAAGACUUAACACAACAAGGUUAAGUAAAUUGCUGAAUGUUACACAAUUUUUUUUUUUAAAGCUGGGAUGUACACCUGAAACUAACAUAAUACUGUAAAUAACUAAACAUCAAUUAAAAAAAAAAAAAAAGAGCUGGAGUUCCCAUCAUAGCAUAACAGAAAUGAAUCCAACUAGAAACCAUGAGUUUGUGGGUUUGAUCCCUGGCCUCGCUCAGUGGGUUAAGGAUCCAGCAUUGCCGUGAGCUGUGGCUGUGGUUUAGGAUAGACGCUGUAGCUGCGAUUCAACCCCUAGCCUGGGAACCUCAUAUGCCACGAGUGCAGUCCUUAAAAAAAAAAAAAGAAGAAGAAGAAGAAGACCUGGGCUUUGAACUCAGGAAGCUUAUUCUAGAUCGUGAGCUCUUACAUAUAAAGUAAAAGAUGUCUGUGUGCCUGUCCAUAUGUGUCUGCAGGUAUGCGAUGUUUCUCCUCUAUCUCUCUAGAAUAAUCAAGUUUGGGGUUUGCUCAAAAUGUCUUGGACAAGCAUGGCGGUGAACUGAUAUGUGGCACUUAGGAUGCCUGCAAUGAUUACAUGAGGAAGGGACAGGAGAGAUUCCUGAAAAGAAAAUGAAAAAAAUAACAGGACAGAUUGCUAAGAGUUUGGCCGGCCAAAAAUGUAUAAACCUUAAAGGAGAUUCAAAGCUGAAUUUCUAUGCUUGUGAGAUUGUGGCAAAAGUGGCAUGUGUCUCUAAAUGCAGAUAGGAGACAUGAACUCAGACUGAGAAAUACAGCCACAAAGAUCAUAUGUGAUAUAUGGACUAUUAAAACUUUUUAACAAAGAAUAUUUGAUAGAAAGGGAGAUUGACUCAAAAUAGACAGAAAAUAUCAUACAAAAAGAAAAUAAAAUACUACCAUUAAGGGGUAGAAGGAGGAAAUCCUCACAAUAAUGAUUCAGAAUAUUUCUAAUGCAAAACACUUUAAAAUACUAUCAUAAAAUAGUAACAUAUCAUAUGAUUUUAAGAGUGGUUAUGACAUUUGCCUAGCCUCCAAAAUGCUGUUAUUUGACAUUGUCAAUUUCUAGCAUACAUGACAGAAAUUUAUGUCAUAUGAUAAAGAAUAACCAAAACAUGCUGAAUCAAACUGUAACAAGUGGCAGCUGUUUCCUCAUGGGUGUGCAUUUUUAUAUUUUUCCAGGCUUUAACUAAGACUCUUGAGGGUGCAAUAGCCAAAAAUAAUACUUUAAGGAAGGUGAUAAAGGUUUAACAUAUGGAUUUUGUAUACAAAAUUAAGUUUACUUUUUAAAAAAGUAUUUUGAAUAUUAUAAUGGAGAGUUUAUAGAAAUAGCAGUACAAAAACCACAGACUUUAUAAGAUUUUAGAUAUAUUUAGUGCAUAAAAUAGCAAAUGCUAGUGUUUGAAAAUCCUGGUAUUAGAUUCACAUCACUAAAGCAAAAAUAUUCAAUAUUCUUGGAACUUAUUUUAUGAAAAGGAGGCUACACUCUUCAAAAGAAGUAGAAAAAAGCAUGGAUCUGUAUCGCAUCAAGUUCCCUUCAAGGAGAUUGAACCUCAAACCCCCUGGCCAUGUCUCACUGUAAUACCCCUUCCCCAAGCUUGACCAGCCUGGGCUCCUCACUCCUUGCUAGAGAAAGAAUGUCACCCAUUCCUCACCAGGCCACCAUAUAACCUGUUCCCCAUGCAAAUAAGUUAUCCUGCCCCAGACCAACUAGAAGAUCAAAUUAGGUCACCACUCAGGCCUCAUUGUGGGCCAUAAAGACUAUUGCAGAGUGAGUUGGGAUUUUUUUUUUUUUAACUUGCAUGCACAUGAGUCCUCUCUCCCUCUCUGAAAAUAUACUUUAGCUUUAAUAAAUUUGUAAGACAUCUGCCAUUCCAAUGCUUUGUUAUGGAGAGACGGGGACCGAGAAAACUGUGAUGGUAUCAGAUCGAAUAUGACCUAAGUUCAAAUCCUACAGAAAAUACUCAUUUUGUAUAUUCAGGCAUGACUACUCCAUGGAGAUCCCAUUUCCUGGGCCAUAAAAUGGGAUGGUUGUUUAUAUUUACAGAGCUUUAAGAUGGUAUCUUGAUAUUUUGGGCAUUCAAAUUUAUGCAAGUUGAUAUGGAAACACAACCAUUUUAAAGCCAAAUUAAUACUGCCAGGACCAUAAGAUUAUAUUGAAGACCAAAAUACUAAACUUUUGUGUGCAUGUGUGUGCGUGAGAGAGAAAUCUUCCCAUGAGGUUCCAACUUCCUGCUAGAGCACUUGCAAAGCACCACUAUUCACAUGAAGUAUUCUACUCAAUCCACUUUAGAUGGCUAAAAUGCAGUAACAAGGAAAAGAUUU